UGAAGUCCUCGCCGCUGGGCAGGAGCUGCUUUAGCUGGAGUUCUCAAUUUUGCUCUCCUAGGUUCAUCUCCUCGCCCAUUACUCCCUCUGCAUCCGAGUAAACAAUUUGAUGAUCAUAAACUUGAUGUAAUCAUCUGUCUUAAAUAAUUUGAAUAAUUGCAUGUAGUACAAUCUUGGAGUAAUACUGAAAUUUAACACUGAAACUGAACAGUGAUAUUGAACAUUGAAAGAUGAACACUGAGUAGAACAUGUACUGCCAAUACAAGUUUGGACUUGUACUGUCAAUACAAAAAAUGAGCAUGUACUGUCAAUUUAGCACAGGUUUGGACUUCUUAGUUUCAUCAGUACUCCAAAUCAGUAGGAGUAUGAAUUAAUGGGCAAAAAUAAUUGCUACUCUCAUUUCAGGUAAAAUUGAGUAGGAAUAGGAGUAUGAAUAUCAGGAGCAUGAAUACCAAGAAGGGUAGUGGUAAAACAUAGAGCAUGGCCUCCGAAAAUUUUACCUCAGCCUUACUUUGAACUCACUAUCAUUUCUGUACUCCAUUAUUCCCAUAAGAGGGUCUCUUUCACCUGUAACUUGACAUGAUCAAGUAAACUGUGCACAUGGCUAUUUUUAUUUGAAUCUUCUAUGGUAUGACUGAACAAUCUAAACUGUUUGACAUAACUUGAUGUAAAUAAAAUACUCCGAUCAUUAUUAGUAUGCAAAUUUGCAGUUAGUGCUUCGAAAAAAACACUAUGGGAAAUGACUUGAAUGGAGAAAUGUUGAGAUACCAACCUGCUAGCUGAAAGUGCGGCAUGCCGGCAUGAGAGUGACUGAUGCCCUCACACAUCUUUUUUCAAUAGCCCUUCUUUAAAACAAUCUGAUGGAAAAAAAUUCAAGGUCACAAGUCAUAUUACUGUAGGGCUCAUAUUACUGUAGAAGAGGGAAGAGAGAGAAGAGAGCAAGAAUAUGGAGGUCACAAGAGGAGUAUACUACAGUAGCUCUCCUCUUGUUGCAAGUCCUACACUAAACUACUAAAGCUACUGCUUGCAAGUCCUAACAUAACAGCAGCAAUCAUCAUCAGUACUCCAAGUAUCCAAGAUCGAAUAAUUAACAGAAAAACAAGAUAACCUAACAGAGCAAGAUGGAGUAAUCCAAGAAAAUUAAUUGAAAAUUGCUGACUAGUGUUGUGUGCAAGUGCAAGUACUCCAAAUUUGUUUGAGUAGCAAAUCUUGGAGUACCGGAGGACUCCAAGUUAAAUGUACUCAAAGCAAAAUUAACUUGGUGAUGCAUGCUAAACUUGAGAACCAUCAUUAGUUGGUACACACAUCAUUCAUAUUACACAUGAUAAUUAAUUAGGUGCGAUAAUUAAAUAACCCCAGCAUCUAUGUUAGUUAGGUGUAGUAAAAACUCCUACUGCUACUGCAUCUUUACCAACCAAAUUCAGUGAUAGAGCUACUCCAUUUUACUCAAAAUUCAGUAUGCAAAAUUAACAGUAAUCCAUACAGCUGCUUCAUACUCCAAAUUCAGUAUACAAAUUCAGUAUUCAUGUACUACUCCAAGUCCUACACUAAACUACUCAAAGAUCAUUUUCAUUUCCAUCUGAUCAUUUAACGUUAAACAAGCAGUGCAAGCAAGAGAAUAGUGCAAACAAAGUAUGCAAUAAUGUUGUACUUCUCCAAUUGAUCAUUUUCAUUUCCAAAAUGUACUGGUGUGCAUCUUGAAAGUUCAACCUCUUACCUUGAAAGUUCUUUUUAGUUGCCUGGAGAACAUGGAUCUCCCAGACCUCAACUACACCCCACCUGCAGAAGAUGAAGAUGAAAUGGACGAAGAUGUAAGAGAUGAGAUGGACGAAGAUGUAGGAGAUGCAAUUGUUCAAGGUAAAUGACUCAAAUGAUCAUGAGUAGAGAGUAAACGACUCAAAUGACUUGUGUAAAUGCAUUGUUGUACUCCAUUUGAUCAUAUAUAAUAUAUUUUCUUUGUGCAGGUGUUGAGCAAGCAGUUCAGAAAAGGGAUAUCCUAGAUGACAAGAAAAGAUAUGCUGCUUAUGUUGCAAUGCAUACAUUGUGCAUGAGUAGAGGGGGAAAGUUUAAGAGAGAUGAAAAGAAAAAUAUUGCUGAUUUCUUUGGAGUGGGU
rnacentral:lncRNA from 1 species